ACUUUUUGGCGCCGUUGCCGGGGACUGUUAAGAAGUUGCUUUAAUAUUUCCAAUAGGACUUUAUAGUACUACAGGUUUUAUUUGUUAUUAUUUUUUUCUUUUCUGACUUUUAAAAUGUGUGUUUCUGUAGGUUGCGUAUGAACACACGAUCUCACGGAAAUCCUCUUUUUGAGUUGGACCCUGAAAUCAACGCUACGUUGCGCACUCUCAAGAAACAGAAGAACCAAGUUGAGACAGAUACGAUGGCUACUCCUGAGCAAAUCCAAAUUCGAGCUCUGCAAGAGCAGUU
rnacentral:lncRNA from 1 species